GCUGGGGCACAGUGGCGCAUGCCUGUAGUUCCAGCUACUCGGGAGGCUGAGGUGGGAGGAUUGCUUGAGCCCAGGAGUUCUGGGCUGUAGUGCGCUGUGCCAGUCCAGUGUCCGCACGAAGUUCAGCAUCAAUAUGGUGACCUCCCAGGAGCGGGGGGACCACCAGGUUGCCUAAGGAGGGGUGAACCAGCCCAGGUCGGAAAUGGAGCAGAUCAAAACUCCCAUGCUGAUCAGUAGUGGGAUCACGCCUGUGAAUAGCCACUGAACUCUAGCCUGGGCAACAUAGCGAGACCCCAUCUCU
rnacentral:SRP_RNA from 1 species